UUCACGUAGAACAACCGCAAAGCGGUUAGUUAGUUUCGGAAACUCAAUCAGAGCAGUUCUCAUCUAUAAAUUGUGUCUAAAGUCUCUAACGAGAAAUUAAAAUCGGGCGUUUAGAUAUGUUAUAAGGAACGUAUAAGUUUACCGGUUUUUUCAAGUACAUCAUCUAUUAAGACUUUAUUUUGUAAAAUCAACGGAGUGUUAGCAAUUCAAGGAAUUAUUAAUGAGAUACGCAACGCGAUAAAUUCCACGAGAGAUAAUUUGUGUAAUAAGGACCCAAGGCUCACGCCUAAUAAAGUACAUCAGCAAUAGGAUUUGAUCACACUCGUUGGAAUGAAAGUGCUAUCAGUUGCGACACAGAGUGCAGAGACGACUGGCAAUUUCACGAGUGUAAUUCGGCAUGUUCUGGGGGUCCAGGGCCAACCGUAAAAUCCACCCAGGAUCGACCAUAAAACUGCUCAUCCCCGUCACCUCCCUCACCCACUGUCCGUCGAUCGCACGUGUGUGCACUCCCAAGUUACGGGUCGAUGUGACAACUAUUGGGGACACGUGAGCGAUCUUAAUUAUCCUGGUAUUCUGGUGGGUGUUAAUCAUACUUCCCACAAAUUUUGCCGAGAUUUUCCGCUCGCUUUUCUUCGAAUGCCGGGGGAAGAGAGAUUCUCGUCCUCAGCGUGACGGAUUCUUCGUACAUGAGGACACAGUACAGAUACAUAAUAAAAGGGAAGAUUUUAGAGAUCAUUAGAAGAAGACGUCUGCAGACGUCUUUUAUUGUGUUAAAGUAAUUUAC